rnacentral:tRNA from 1 species
GAGGGUAUAGCUCAGUUGUAGAGUGCAUGCUUAGGAUGCAUGAGGUCCUACACUCA